UAGGGAAUCUUCGGCAAUGGACGAAAGUCUGACCGAGCAACGCCGCGUGAGUGAAGAAGGUUUUCGGAUCGUAAAACUCUGUUGUUAGAGAAGAACAAGGACGUUAGUAACUGAACGUCCCCUGACGGUAUCUAACCAGAAAGCCACGGCUAACUACGUGCCAGCAGCCGCGGUAAUACGCAGGUGGCAAGCGUUGUCCGGAUUUAUUGGGCGUAAAGCGAGCGCAGGCGGUUUCUUAAGUCUGAUGUGAAAGCCCCCGGCUCAACCGGGGAGGGUCAUUGGAAACUGGGAGACUUGAGUGCAGAAGAGGAGAGUGGAAUUCCAUGUGUAGCGGUGAAAUGCGUAUAUAUAUGGAGGAACACCAGUGGCGAAGGCGGCUCUCUGGUCUGUAACUGACGCUGAGGCUCGAAAGCGUGGGGAGCAAACAGG
rnacentral:rRNA from 1 species